rnacentral:rRNA from 1 species
CACGUGGAUAAUCUGCCCUCAGGUGGAGGAUAACCUCGGGAAACUGAGGAUAAUACUCCAUAGAUCUGGGAUGCUGGAACGCUUCCAGGUCGAAAGCUCCGGCGCCUGAGGAUGGGUCUGCGGCCUAUCAGCUUGUAGGGGGCUUUAAAGACCCCCUAGGCUUCGACGGGUACGGGCUAUGGGAGUANGUCGCCCGGAGAUGGAUUCUGAGACACGAAUCCAGGCCCUACGGGGCGCAGCAGUCGCGAAAACUCCACAAUGUGGGAAACCACGAUGGGGGAACUCCCAGUGCGAACACUUUGUGUUCGCUGUUCUCGUGCUUNNAAAAGCACGUGAAGUAAGGGCCGGGUAAGACGGGUGCCAGCCGCCGCGGUAAUACCCGCGGCCCGAGUGGUGCUCAUUAUUAUUGAGUCUAAAACGUCCGUAGCCGGUCGGGUAGAUUCCUGGGUAAAUCGAAUCGCUUAACGAUUCGAAUUCCGGGGAGACCGCCUGACUAGGGACCGGGAGAGGCGCGAGGUACUCCUGGGGUAGGGGUAAAAUCUUGUAAUCCUAGGAGGACCACCAGUGGCGAAGGCGUCGCGCUAGANCGGAUCCGACGGUCANGGACGANGCCCANGGGCGCAAACGGNAUUAGAUACCCCGGGUAGUCCUGGGUGUAAACGCUGCANGCNUGGUGUCNNGGGUNCUACGGGGGCGCC